GAUGUGACUGUUUGAAACUAUUUUCCUUGACUAAAUAGAGCAAAAUCAGUCAAUAUUGUUAGUCAUACAAUGUACAUCACUUUAUAUUAAUUUAUUGUUCAUUGAACUUUUGUAUUAAUUUAAUAUCAUUUACAAACUCCCUUAAUAAUCUUUAAAAGCUGUUCACUUCACUUCAGUUCAUUGCAAUCUCACAAAGCUCUAUAAUAAUCAAUGAAGCUCUACACUGCACAACAAAUCUCUUAUUUACACCCUGUCUACACUUUGUUUAACCUGACUACAUCAGACUUCGUACUUCCGCUCAAUUUCAGUUCGCUUCUGUACUCAGUCUGAUAUAGCAAACCAGCUCCCAGAUUAUCUCUGGCUCCGCAGCAGCCGGGCCAACCAAAGAAUAGAAGGCGGGCUGAGAGCCGUGACGUAGACGCUAAGCGCCAAAUUUGGGCAACUGUUUAACUGUUGGGAAUAUAAAAAAUAAAAUCGGAGUGUCUAUUUAAGUGCAAAUAGCGGUUGUUGGCAGAGGCUACUCCACCCACAAACAUAUGUUUGGGAUAGUCAAAUUUGCAAAAGACGAUUGUCAGUCGUCAGAAUUAGUGGCGCAGGUGGUAAAGCGUGUAUCACACUCAUUUUGACACGAUCGACCGGGGUUCAAAUCUGCCUUUUGGCGAACUUUUUUCUCCCUUUUCAAAUUUCAAAUCACAUCAGAAAAGCAUUUAUUUUUUAAUAAAAAUGAAGGAAAUAAUCAAAAAGUUGAAAAUAAAGUAUCGGGUAGGGUUAGGGUAGGUGUAGGGAGGGCUUGUCCCAAUAAACUGGCAUCCAUUUAAUAAUCUGAAAUAAAAUUUUAAAAUUACACUCAUUGCAUACUGUUUUAUAAUGUAUUACAAUGCUGAGGUGCAGAUAAUUGCCACUAUUUGCAAUAAGUAAUUAGCAGAAUAUCCUGCUAUUUUAACAUAGAAUAAAUAGAAUCUAAAGCUAUUUGCACUGUGUAAAUAGCAUAUCACUAAACAAUACUGCUAUUUUCACUUAUCUACCGGCAAGGCGAUAAUUGACCAUAUGCACAGAGCUCUAUUUAGAACUUCCGGAUAAAGAUAAGCCAGCUCGUAAUCUUCCGGUGAAGCUCAUUUUAUAUGUGCUAUAUAUAGGUAGAGACUCUCACAGAAACAUCUCCUGCCUCAUUCUUAUCAGAAACUGAGAAACAAAAUAAUUGCAACAUUGUAAAUAAUGAUUGUAGAAUUAACAUACAGACAAAUAAACACUAUCAUAACUGUUUAGGCAGUUAGGUUAAUCUCUUAAACGACGUAAUGGUAUUCUCGAUUAGUCAAUAUCUUGCCUUCAAAGCCAUGAACACAUUUUUAAAAUCUUAUAAAAUUUUAAGUCAUUUAUUGUUUCUCAACUCUGUGUGGUAAAAUUCCCAUUAUUAAAGUUUCCGUUUUCAUUCAUGAAGACAACAUGAAGAAAUAUGCUAAAAACAUGUCUCGGCGAAAAAUAGACUUUUUAAGAUGAAAAUGAAAUUACCUUUAUAACCAAGAGAUGGCAGUAUAGGAUCACUCAUUGGCUGCAGCUGCCAUUUCAACUUUGUUUUUCAUGUCUUUUGAUUUAUUAUAAAAUAAAUAUUAUAACAAAUUUAGUACUUUGUGGCACUGAGUAUAAAGUAGGCUAUAGCAAGUGCAGGAAGUCACAAAUUCACAGUAAAAUACAAAUUAAAUAAGUUGGUAUAACAAAUAAAUAAUGCAUUCAGUAUUUUGAAAUGUUUAGAUUUAAUUUAAAUAACUAGGCUACAUCGUUUAGUUUAUCCAACACAGACCUGUAGUUUUGUUAGUCUGAAUUUAGUCUGAAUCACUUAAUGCACAGCUUUAUUUUGACAUCGGCUCCUCAGGUGAUUCAUUCCGUUGCCGCUGUCAAACAUAACAAUUACUCGCGGCAUGAUUUAACGGAUUCCCUCGCAUAAGUUUAACAUUCGCAUUUUCUCAUUCCUGAAACGGAAUAUGUGGAAGUUUGGUCAUCUUAGACAAACAAAACUUUUCUCCUAAAUGUGAAUGGAUUAUGUAGAGAAACCGAGUAAAGGACGCUGUUCUUAUGGCACAGUACACUUGACCGGAAAUGACUGAGCUGGCUUAUCUACAACCAGGAAGUAACUGUGCAUAAGGUCAAUUGUGAUUGUGUCCCCCGUUAUAUGAUUGGCUUACGGGUACACCAAUGAUUUUAAACUUCAGACAAGCGCCCUCCCAUGAGAAAAGUAAACGCUUGUCAAUUAUGCCCUUCCAGACUCUGUCUACGAAGCAAAGCGAAGUAGCAGAUUUUGGUAUUACCAGGCUACACUUUGUUUGUUAUAACGAGAGGAUUUGUGAGCAUGCAUAACUCAGCAAUGAACAAAGUAUUUUGAGCAGCUAGUGGAUUCUGAUUAACAUUGCAUUCAAGGAAUCAACAUAUGUCUACGAUACAUUACUCACCACUACACAAACACGCAAGUUAAAAUAUUUUACAAUUUUAAAGGUCUAGUUAUUAUCGUAAUCACUUGGUGCCCCCCUAUUGGCUGGUACCUCAGGGCACUCGCUUAAUCCCGUCUAUGGAUGAUCCGGCCCUGCCUAUAUGUAUAGGAUAAGAUGAAACAAAGUUUCAGUCAAAUCGCUGUCAAACUGUCGUUAUAAACAUGAAUUCAAACCAAGAAGAACAAAGAGAGAAGCUGAUGGAGAUAUUUCCAUUUUUUCAGUGGAUAACUGUGAGUAUUUGGUGUUUGCAGUUAUAGUAUAGUGAAAUAUAAGUAUUUGUUUUGCUGAAGUAAUUGUAUAUUAUUCAAAACACACUGUAUUUGGUUGUUGUAGAUGUUCAUCUAUCUCAGAGAGCACUGUUAAAGUUUUAGCUCCACCUUAUCAGAGUGCUGAAAAGUGGAAGUCAGAGGAAACAUGACCAACCUGCAGCAAAACAAUAACACAAAAGGUCUUGACUCUGGAGUGCAGCAUUACUUGUUUGGUCAUCUACAUUCAGAUGAAAACACCACACUUCUCUCUAAUUCAAGAUGUCAAGUCUACUCAUCGCAAAGAGAGUUAGCAUCAAAAUGGAUGUGUCACUGACCAAUAACACAGAGAUGCCAGAAGUAUCUGUUUGCAGUCUACUUUUUGUUCAGUAUGGAGCAUGAAAAAUCCAUCACUCAGUUAAUUUCAAUCAUUACUAUUUAGCCCUUCCCAGUGCUGAA